AUACUUACCUGGCAAGGGAGACACCGUGAUCAAGAAGGCGGUUCACCCAGGGCGAGGCUCAUCCAUUGCACUCCGGCUGUGCUGACCCCUGCGAAUUUCCCAAAUGUGGAAAUCUCGAUUGCAUAAUUUCUGGUAGUGGGGGACUGCUUUCGCG
rnacentral:snRNA from 8 species